AUCAUCGAUCUACUACGGUUCUCCACAAAGAGGCGGUCCUUCGACGGAUUCGUUACCACAAAUGCUUACGCAAACUCAAAGGCCGUACUAGAGUACGAUCGGCGGUGACAUAUACGUUCCGGAAACACGAUGAUUUGAAUGUAUUGCAACUGGCGAUUACAGGUUAAAACCACAGGUUUGAGUCUUCUUCAGCUCAACGAAUUGUACCAUAAAUGGUCCUUGGCCAAAAUGUAAAUUCCUAGAAAUCGAGACCUUGUUUAUUUCUGUUUUUUAAACGUUAGAGAGUGAUGUUACGGAUUUGC